rnacentral:rRNA from 1 species
ACCACAAAUGGGGUCUAAUACAAGAGUAGAAUUUAACAAGUGUGCUACUCUGAAUCAUCAUCACUAUAAAUAGGAAUGAUCUUUCCCAUGGCACAAAGCACGACAAGCACAAACAAAAUCACCCAUGCGCAUGAAACAGAGCAAGGUACUACUAUAGCAGAACAAGAGAGGGAGCUAGAGGUAGGAGAUGGACUCACCGGAGAGGAGGUUGUAGUCGAUGCCGCACACGACCGCGGCCGCAGUCACGCGGUAGAGGAGGUUGUAGCCGAGUUGGACCAUGUGCGGGGUGUCGUCGUGGCAGUGGAUGCCCUGGUUGUCGUCAUCAUCCACGGAGGCUGCCUGCUGCUCCGAAU